GUUCGGAUUGUAGUCUGCAACCCGACUACAUGAAGCUGGAAUUGCUAGUAAUCGCGGAUCAGAAUGCCGCGGUGAAUACGUUCCCGGGUCUUGUACACACCGCCCGUCACACCAUGGGAGUCGGAAAUGCCCGAAGUCUGUGACCCAACCGGAAGGAGGGAGCAGCCGAAGGCAGGUCGGAUGACUGGGGUGAAGUCGUAACAAGGUAGC
rnacentral:rRNA from 1 species